rnacentral:rRNA from 1 species
CAGGCGUAACACAUGCAAGUCGAACGAUACCUUUCGGGGUAUAGUGGCGCACGGGUGCGUAACGCGUGGGAAUCUGCCCUUGGGUUCGGGAUAACCGUUGGAAACGACGGCUAAUACCGGAUGAUGACGUAAGUCCAAAGAUUUAUCGCCCAGGGAUGAGCCCGCGUAGGAUUAGCUAGUUGGUGGGGUNAAGGCCUACCAAGGCGACGAUCGUUAGCUGGUCUGAGAGGAUGAUCAGCCACACUGGGACUGAGACACGGCCCAGACUCCUACGGGAGGCAGCAGUGGGGAAUAUUGGACAAUGGGCGAAAGCCUGAUCCAGCAAUGCCGCGUGAGUGAUGAAGGCCUUAGGGUUGUAAAGCUCUUUCACCCGGGAUGAUAAAAACAUACCCGGGAGAAUAAGCCCCGGCUAACUCCGUGCCAGCAGCC